GUGUAAGGAAGAACAGAAGGAUCCAAGUGUGAGAAAGCCCACCCUGAGUCUCUCAGAGAUUCAUUUCACUACCAGGUCAAAGACACAAUCAAAAGCCCGACAAAUGGAAUUUGUGGAAUUGGAACAAAAAGCUUUUCUUCCUAGGCACAAGAACAUCAAAGCAUAAAUCCUUCAGGUAUCAGCAAUGACAUCACUUAAGAAUUUCUCAGAAUCUUUGGCACCACCCCAGGCCUACCGGAUCAGAAUCUGAAUUUUUUAACAAGAUCUCAGAUCUAGUCAAGAGUCCAGUCUGAUUUCUCUUUAUUGGGACUACCACCCAAAGCAGAAUGAGGAUGAUGUAACCACGCCCAGUGACUUCUGGAUACCACUGACUCUAGGCAUUUUGCAGAUCCUGAAUUCCAGCAGAAUGGCUGACACCAACUGGUCUGAAGACCCUCACCAAGGAACUGACUCAGUGCAGGAAUGCAGUUUCUUCAUCUCCCUAUCCCUGACUUCACCCCUCACUUCUCAACCAAUCAGUGAUCACCACACUUUAGGCCAUCACCUGUGUCCAGACCCCUUAAAAACCCCAUCUGCAAACCUCUUGAAGAGGCAUAUUUGAGGUUUCCUCUCAUCUCCUCAUUUGGUUUCCCUACAAUUAUUAAAUUCUUUCUCUGCUGCAACUCCUACUUUUUCAGUGUAUUGGUCUGUUACUGUGCAACAGGAAAUCAGACCUGGUGGUCCUAUAGUAAGAGUUCACAGAAUAUGAUAUACAAAGUGAUCUGUGAUAUACAAAAACCGGCACAAUCUCACUCUUAAUAAGAAAAAUUCAACUUAAAAUUAAAAGUUUUUUUUCCUCAGAAUGGCAAAGAUCAAAGUUUGAUAACAUGGUUGGAAAGUAUGCAGACCGAUAUUCUCAUAUUCAUUGAUGAAGUGUAAAUUGAUACAUCCUUUGUCAGUACGGACAGGUUUCCCAACUCUAGGGGUGAAAUUUAUACAGACUACAGUGUGAAUGACAACCACUUCAAAUUGGGUGAUAUGAUGACCUUGACUCUGUGGAGGGUCAUUUGGCAAAAUAUCUCAAAAUAAAAAUGUACAUACAAUUUGA
rnacentral:lncRNA from 1 species